UACGAAUGGAGCGAGCGUUGUUCGGAAUCACUGGGCGUAAAGCGUAUGUAGGCCGACUGGAAAGUCAGGAGUGAAAGCCUGGGGCUCAACCCUAGAAUUGCUUUUGAAACUCCCAGUCUAGAAUCCCGGAGAGGCAAGGGGAAUUCCGAGUGUAGAGGUGAAAUUCGCAGAUAUUCGGAGGAACACCAGUGGCGUAAGCGCCUUGCUGGACGGGUGUUGACGCUGAGAUACGAAAGCGUGGGGAGCAAACGGG
rnacentral:rRNA from 1 species